rnacentral:rRNA from 1 species
UGGGGAAUAUUGCACAAUGGGCGCAAGCCUGAUGCAGCCAUGCCGCGUGUGUGAAGAAGGCCUUCGGGUUGUAAAGCACUUUCAGCGGGGAGGAAGGCGAUAAGGUUAAUAACCUUGUCGAUUGACGUUACCCGCAGAAGAAGCACCGGCUAACUCCGUGCCAGCAGCCGCGGUAAUACGGAGGGUGCAAGCGUUAAUCGGAAUUACUGGGCGUAAAGCGCACGCAGGCGGUCUGUCAAGUCGGAUGUGAAAUCCCCGGGCUCAACCUGGGAACUGCAUUCGGAACUGGCAGGCUAGAGUCUUGUAGAGGGGGGUAGAAUUCCAGGUGUAGCGGUGAAAUGCGUAGAGAUCUGGAGGAAUACCGGUGGCGAAGGCGGCCCCCUGGACAAAGACUGACGCUCAGGUGCGAAAGCGUGGGGAGCAAACAGG